AGCUGUGCUUCCAGAUGCCCUUGGGUCCUUUUGGGUUAAACUCUGGGCUUCCAAGUGCAGGCACCACAGGGUGUGUUUUCCAGCUCUUCUUCCCCUGCCACUUCCUCAGCAAAAUCUGGGACUGGGUGUGGUACAGGCGGGGAGAACUAUUGGGCUGCGUGAUUUGCUUGGGGCUCCCCCAGAUGCCAGCUCGCACGGUCGCCUCAGGCUCAAGCGGGAGCUCCUCAAGGUCCCCCCAACUCCAGCAGGAGCCCCUCCAUCUCCUCAUACCGGUCCUCGCCCCUCCCCCAGGUAUGGAAGCAGGUCCUUCACGGAAGAGGCUCCUUCUCUCUGGAAUUCAGCUCGUGGAGGGCCCCCUGGCACCCCUCUGCUGUUAACUAGCCUGGUAGACAAACACGUUGCUUUGCUUUGUCCAAGUUUCUCUUGCGUUUCAUAGAGAACCAAGGUCUUUCCCGCGAGCCUACAUUCUAACCGGAAGCGGAAGUAGCCUCUGCUCGUUCGCGGGCCCUUUGCUCUUUUUCCUCCUUUAGGAAGGUGGACGGUGAGGAGCUUGGAUGGUUCUACACUACGGGGCCAGGAUGAGCGCAGGUCUCUGGUUUACCCAAAGCCGGUGUCUGGGAUGCGCGACGGUCUCGCUCCUGCUUGGAGCGGCCGCCACGUCCGUCUUCAUCCAAAGGGCGACCCUGGGGAGUGGCCGGAGCGCGAGGAGCGGCGCAGGUAACCCGGCAACCCACUCCAAGUAUGGGAAAGAGAGAAAAGAGGCAGCAGGCAAGAUAAAAAUGCUGACAGGGCCAAGGUAUGCUUUGAACACCGACUCCAUGCCUGGCCUUGUAUGAAGACAGCUGGCAGCUGGUACCUGCUCAGUCAUCAGCAGAGCAAGGUAGGUUGUGAAAGCUUCCAGAAUCAGGCAGACAUAGCCUCAAAUUCUGGAAUUUCACUGAUAGCCCACAAAAAUGUGGUAUGUUUCUUGCCUCCAUUUCCCUCUUUUUUGAAAAGAGCUAAUGAGGUUUAUCUUGCAAGUCUGUUUUGAAGCCCAAAGGUGAUGUGAUAUCUAAAACAACCAGCUUCCAGUCGAAACUCCAUAUACAAUUGUUCCCAGCACUAGCCCACACCCCACAUCCCUGCCCAGCCCCCCACAUCUCUAAGUGGUUUUUUCCACCUCCUUUUUCAUUUGAAAAGCUUCUAUUCGUUCUGCAUUGGUGACAUUCAGAGCUCCUCCAAGGGCAGUGCCCAGACUGCCAGCAUCAGAGUCUCCUGGGGAGACUGUCUAGAUGCAAGUUCCUGGGACCUGAUGUAGUUCACAGAAUCGAACCUCUGGGAGCAAAGUUCAACAGAUGGCAUUGCAGACAUAGUCCUGAGGCAAAGAAGCCUGUACUUGGCACUUCCAGUCUCUGAGAAGCCCCUUGGCAGCAAUAACUAGUGCCUGACAUCUAGACUUGCCUUGUACAGAACCAGAAUGGAGACAGGGUCCAGAAACACACAUGUGCCUAGCAAGGAGGCCAAAGGGGAGGGAAGAGAGGUGUGAAUGACGUGGGCAUGAAGGAGUGGGAGUGAGAUGGGGUGAAGGAGAUGCCAGCUGGAAGUCCUGGCAGGGUAGAAGCAAGGAGGGGCCACCUGAGCCCAAGGGUGGAAAUCUGUCCCACCCUGGAGGUGGCAGCAGGCUCCAGGUGCUGGCUCCUCGGGGAGUCACAGGGAGAUUCAAGACCUGUACCGGCCCCUGCAGGUGGCCUUCUGACAAUGAGAUUCUCCAGGUAAGUACUAGUUUCAAAUAUUUUGUCCCCUUAUUAGAUUGUGUGCCCUGUAGCAUUAGUAGCUACUACCAUUGAUGGAGAGCUUCCUGGCAGGGGCUCUGUGGCUUAAUGCUUAGAAGAGAAGAGUGCUGGGUUCAAACUCACACCUAAAUCCUUACUCUAUACCUGGUAAGGAGGGUGGCAUUGGGAAAGUCAUGUGACUUUUCGGAGCUUCCAUUUGCCGAUCUGUGCAGUGGGGAUAACAGCUUGCACCUCUCAGGAUGGUGAUGAGGAAUCAGUGAAACAGAUGAUGUGUCCAAGCCCAGCAUGAAGGCAGCCCACCCACUGUUCCAGAACAGGAGCCCAGGCAGCAGCCUGCCCUCACCCGAGGGGAAGUCUACCAUCCCUGGUGACUCAGGCAGCUCUGGCAGCCGCACAGUCCUGAAGCCACCCAUGAUGAUGAUUUUUUUGUCUGUGAGUUGCCCUUUGAUUGACAGGCCUGUACUCAACACAGAAGGUUUGCAUUUUUCAUGGGAUGGGAGGGAGACAAAGGAAGGGGGCAGAUGGUCUAGAGCCAGCGUCUACUGUCUGCCCAAGCAGAGUAGACAACCCGAGUUGGAAGUGUGAGUGGCCAGUGAAGGUCAAGGGGAAUUUGUGUAAGACCCAGCUCCUUGGCAUUUUGCUUGGAAUGAGCCAAAGCUUCAGUCAGUUCAAGUUAUUGCAAGGGUUGUGAGGACGGGACCCCAGCAGGCCAGGCAGGGCUACGUGAGGAGGCCGCAGCUCACGCGGGGCCUUGGGUUGCAGAUUUCAGAAAGGGGCCAGCCUGAGGGCUGUGGGCGCUUCUCUAAGUUCCUUCCAUGGCUCUGUGGGCAGCGUUCCUGGUUGUCCCUGUCGCUGACCUCACUCCCCUUUUGGCCCUUUUCCCGGAUCAUCAUCUUUGAUACCAGCAGCAGCACACGGCAGCACAAGCCCCCAGCCUGACAGGCUUUGCUGGCGGGAACCUAAAACUAACAACCUUCAGCUUUCAGUGGGUCUUGUGGGGACUUGCUGUGGCCUCCCAGUGGCAGGGAGAUGUGUAUUCUGCUGGCAGCUUAUGCAAAGCCCCUGAGAGGAAACUAACCAGCCCCCAAAGGCAACACGAGCACUGGCCACUCGUCCCUCUCCUGGAUGCUUCUGCUUUGGGUGAUUAGGACAAGGGAAGUCUUGGAAUUUGAAAGCAAGUCACAGCCCCAGUGUUGUAGGGUGAACCUCCAUGGUGAGAAUGUGUCUCUAUGAUUCUUUUUAGAUGAGAUCGAGCACAUUCAGGGUGGUAUGGCCAUAGACUAUGAUUCUUUUUAGAAUUGCAGUAGCUUCAAGCACAUGUUCUGACUGCUCCAGUCUCACUCCACCCAGCCCGAUCCCCCCAGGUAAUGGCACUACCCAGUUAAUGAAUGGAAACGAAAUGUGCUGUGGCUUCCAGCAGCACCCCCUCCACCAUCCACAGCCCCUCCAAGUUGGAGCUACGGGCUGGAAGAUGCUCCCGUCUCCUCUCUGGCGGGCCAAGGCCCCUCCCCAGUUCAGAGGCACAGAUGACUCAUGGCAGCGGCCUCUGAGCUUGUCUCCUGGCCUCCAGGCUCUCCCCACUCUGCUGCCAGGUUCAACUUUGCAGAACAAAACUCUGUCCCUGCAUCUCCUGUCCCCAGAACGUCAAUGCCCAGGCCUUUCUCUGAAGCCUUUUGUCCUCUGCGCCCUCUAGCGAUCUGUCAGGGAUACAGCAGAGCCCAGGCACACCAGGCCCUGCCUUCAGGAGCUGCUUCUGUUCUAGAGAACAAAGGAGCCAAUAAAUAUGAAAUGACAAAUGGUAAUGAGCGCCAUGGAAGAAGCAGCCCUUGGCGAUGGAAAAAUCUGGGGCAGGAAGGCUUUUCAGAGGAGGUGGCACUGAGCAGUGACCCAAAGGGUGGGAAGGCCACCACCCAGCCUUCUCCCUGGACCCCUCCUCCGCCUCCUGUGUCUGCAGCGCACCUUCUGUCACUCCAAAUCGUGCCUGUGGUGGCAGCAAAUUGGCCAAGACCUGGAUGAGAAACCCCUGCUGCCUUAACCAGCCGUGUCCCCUCCACAGUCUGGGGCCCCAGAGGGAGUUGUGCCAGGGGCUGGGCAGGCUUUCUGAGUUGGGGCUCCCAUGGGCUUCACCCUAAGACCCUUGUGUGGCCCCUGAGAAUCAAGGCUUCCUUUCCUCUCCCUGGUGCUGAAUCUGCCCUUGUUCCUCCUUGACCUUCAGGGUCAAGUCAAGGCAGCCAGGGUCCUCUCCCACAAAAGUCACAGGAAAGAGGAAAAGAGCAGCUCCCCCAAAGUGGGAAUACAGAGAGGCAGCAUGUGGGGGUCAGUGGUUCCAAUCACGAAAGUGAUCACAGCAAACACUUGGCUCCCAGCACGGCCUCCCAGGGGUCCCUGAACCAUCUCAGCCACAUACCGUUUCCUGGAGUGGAACUGGAUUGCUGCUCAAGCCACCAUGCGUCCAAUGUGAGUCUCAUCUCUGGCAAGUAGUUCCUGAACUUUCUGUGGACAGCUGGGCCCCCAACCAUGUGGGUCAGAUAAAAAGUUGCCUCUGAGCUUCCCCAGUGCCCGGUGCUCUGCACUGCAGCUGGGCGAGCCUCAGGGUUCCCCUCCUGGGGAAGCCCACGGCCAGGCUCUUUCUCCUCCACGCUGAAGGCACACACCUCCUCCCCUGCCUGGGUGCUUCAAGACCCACGUGCCACAUUUGCAGCCUCGCUCUCCUGCAGGCCCAGCUGGCAUCUUCUCUGGUCUAUUUCAUGUCUCUUACCUUCCUGAGUCCCCACGCCAGUCUGUAAAGACAGACACUUGUUGUGAUUCGAGAGAUGGCCCAUCUCGGGCACUCUGCUUCCAUAACUUGAAUGGUGGCUUUCAGCUAAUUGCAUGGGGGUUUUAUUGUUGUUGUUUAUUUGUUUGUUUUUUUAGAGAUAGGGGUCUCCCUAUGUUGCCAAGGCUGUUCCUGAA